CACUUUGUUUAGGUUUCCCCAAGCAGUCUGGCGUGAAAAGUAGUCACUGCUGCUUUGAUAAUGCUCGGAGUGUAUGGGGAGCGAAAUUUUGUAGCGAAAUAUGUGAUUUCCCACUGUCAAGAAACGGCUCUAUCGAGGUUCAAGGUACCCGUAGCGCAAACCGAAACAGGUGGGUGAGGAGAGUAUCCUAAGGCCAGCGAUUGAACUGUUGUUAAGGAACUCGGCAAAAUGACCCCGUAACUUAGGGAUAAGGGGUGCCACCAUUAGGUGGCCGCAGAGAAUAGUCCCAAGCGACUGUUUACCAAAAAAAUAGGUUUCUGCUACGUCGCAAGACGAUUUAUAGGAGCUGACCCCUUCCCGGUGGUGGAAGGUUAAGGUGCACUGUUAGAGUAAUCGACUCAGUGCACUUAAGCCC
rnacentral:rRNA from 1 species